UACGGAGGUCCCAAGCGUUGUUCGGAUUCACUGGGCGUAAAGCGCGCGUAGGCGGUUUGUUAAGUUGGAUGUGAAAGCCCUGGGCUCAACCUGGGAACUGCAUUCGAUACUGGCUAACUAGAGUGCGAGAGAGGGAGGUAGAAUUCCAUGUGUAGCGGUGAAAUGCGUAGAUAUGUGGAGGAAUACCAGUGGCGAAGGCGGCCUCCUGGCUCGACAUUGACGCUGAGGUGCGAAAGCGUGGGGAGCAAACGGG
rnacentral:rRNA from 1 species